rnacentral:rRNA from 1 species
UGUUAAGUCAGAUGUGAAAUCCCCGGGCUCAACCUGGGAACUGCAUCUGAUACUGGCAAGCUUGAGUCUCGUAGAGGGGGGUAGAAUUCCAGGUGUAGCGGUGAAAUGCGUAGAGAUCUGGAGGAAUACCGGUGGCGAAGGCGGCCCCCUGGACGAAGACUGACGCUCAGGUGCGAAAGCGUGGGGAGCAAACAGGAUUAGAUACCCUGGUAGUCCACGCCGUAAACGAUGUCGACUUGGAGGUUGUGCCCUUGAGGCGUGGCUUCCGGAGCUAACGCGUUAA